UGGCGAACGGGUGAGUAGCACGUGGGCAACCUACCCUUCUGUGGGGGACAACUCCGGGAAACCGGGGCUAAUACCGCAUUCGGUCACCGUUCGCAUGGAUGGUGCAGAAAGCAGCAAUGCGCAGGAGGAUGGGCCCGCGGCCUAUCAGCUAGUUGGUGGGGUAACGGCCUACCAAGGCGAAGACGGGUAGCUGGUCUGAGAGGACGACCAGCCACACGGGGACUGCGACACGACCCCG
rnacentral:rRNA from 1 species